GGCUUUCGGAGCUAACGCGUUAAGUAGACCGCCUGGGGAGUACGGUCGCAAGAUUAAAACUCAAAUGAAUUGACGGGGGCCCGCACAAGCGGUGGAGCAUGUGGUUUAAUUCGAUGCAACGCGAAGAACCUUACCUACUCUUGACAUCCAGAGAAGCCAGCGGAGACGCAGGUGUGCCUUCGGGAGCUCUGAGACAGGUGCUGCAUGGCUGUCGUCAGCUCGUGUCGUGAGAUGUUGGGUUA
rnacentral:rRNA from 2 species